rnacentral:rRNA from 1 species
CAGCAGCCGCGGGAAUACGUAGGUGGCAAGCGUUGUCCGGAAUUAUUGGGCGUAAAGGGCUCGCAGGCGGUUUCUUAAGUCUGAUGUGAAAGCCCCCGGCUCAACCGGGGAGGGUCAUUGGAAACUGGGAAACUUGAGUGCAGAAGAGGAGAGUGGAAUUCCACGUGUAGCGGUGAAAUGCGUAGAGAUGUGGAGGAACACCAGUGGCGAAGGCGACUCUCUAGUCUGUAACUGACGUUGAGGAGCGAAAGCGUGGGGAGCGAACAGGAUUAGAUACCCCUGUAGUCCCUGUCUCUUAUAC